GUCCAGAUGAACUAUCAUCUUGGAGACACUCUGGUGAACCACAUGUGAUAUAGGUGAGCUAUCACCUAGUCGACAGUCAGGAGGACAAUAAUUAUCCAGGUGAGCGAUCAUCUAGUUGACUGUCAGGAAGAUAACACAUGACACAGGUGAGCUAUCACCUAGUCAACAGUCAGGAGGACAAGAAUUAUCCAGGUGAGCCAUCAUCCAGUUGACUGUCAGGAAGAUAACACAUGACACAGGUGAGCUAUCACCUAUCCGACAGUCAGGAGGACAACAAUUAUCCAGGUGAGCAAUCAUCUAGUUGACUGUCAGGAAGAUAACACAUGAUACAGGUAAGCUAUCACCUAGUCGACAGAGAGGAGGACAACAAUUAUCCAGGUGAGCUAUCACCUAGUUGACUGUCAGGAAGAUAACACAUGACACAGGUGAGUUAUCACCUAGCAGACUGUCAGGAAGACAACA